GCGUCCUAAAGCAAAACAUUUGAUUAUUUUGUUUAUAUCGAGUGUUAGUAGCAUUAUCUAAGCUGCAGAAAUGCUGCACCCACAGACAAUGCAAUCCAUACCCACUCUCCACCAGCCACUGCACUCCAAGGUAUCGAACUAUCUGAACAACCAGCGGAGAACCGGACAAUUCUGUGACCUGCUCCUGGAACUGGAUUCGGAUGAUUCCCUCAGCUUGAGCGUCCAUUUCUGCGUGCUGGCUGCACAGAGCCAGUUCAUCAACACCAAUCAGAAGCAACAGCAGUUCUCCAUUCACAAUCCGCUCAAGAUCACCAUCCGGAAUUUCAGCUGCACCCAAUGCCUGCACACAAUUGUGGACUUCUUCUACGAGGAUUUGGUUUCCGUGUCCAAGGAGCACGAGCUGCACUUUCGGGAGCUAGCGCAAAUCUUGGCUGUGACAGAACUACUGAAUCUCUACCAGUUGCAGCCCUUGGGCGAGGUAAAAGAAGCAACAGAGAUCCCAGCACCUGGAGAGGCGCAACCAAAUCCAGAACUAGAAAAGAAGGCAGAGGCUGUCUUUGAGAAUCGACAAAGUUACUUCAAGCUUAAGAACCCGCGAGCGGUAAAGUCCAGCAGCAAAGUGAACUACUGCAUUGGCUGCGACUUCAAGUGCUAUCAGGUGCAGAAAAUGAUCGAGCACAUGGGCAGCUGUGAACCCUCCCAUUUGACCUGCUCGCUGUGCGAGGUGGGCUUCCUGGACUGGCGGGAAUACGACACUCACCUACGCCGGCACUCUGGUGAUCUGCGUAAGCCCUUCUUUUGCUUGCAGUGCGGCAUCCGCUUCAACACACGAGCUGCCCUGCUCGUCCAUCAGCCCAAGCAUUCCACGGAAACGCCGCACAUAUGUCCACAUUGCGGCAAGGGCUUUAAGUGGAAGCAGGGCCUGAGCAACCACAUCCUGGUCCACAAUCCCGAGAAGCAAAUGCUCUGCGACGUCUGCGGCUACAGCACCACGCACAUGAAGGCCCUCAAGUCGCACAAGCUGCUUCACACUGGAGAAUUCUUUGCGUGCACAGUCUCCGGCUGCAAGCAUCGUGCCAAUCGCAAGGAGAACCUCAAACUGCACAUUGAAACGCACAAACAGGGUCGCGAUUUUAUCUGCGAGAUUUGUGGCUGCAAGUUCAGCCAGAGCAAAAACCUCAAGCGUCACGCCCUGAAGCACACGGAGAAUGGUCCGAACCGCUACAAGUGCCAGCUGUGUGGAUUCAGUAGUCAUCGCUCCGACAAAAUGAAGGAGCACGUGCAGCGGGUUCACACGGAGAAGGCGGUGCAGUUGGAGCUCUCGGAAACGGUGGACAGUAGCUUUCCCGAUGACUUUGAUCUUCCCGUGAUCGACACGACACCCAAGAAGAAACCAAAGGGUGUUAAGAGCAAGACUGUAAGGGAUGUCAAUCCUGACAAGCGACUGAAAUCCCUAUUGCCCAAGGAGACUGUAGAAUAGGAAUAAAAAGAAAGGUUACCAUUCAUAACUUCUCAAGGAAAGAGAUUUUUGAGGCAAAUGUCAAUUGUAAAUGUUUAGAAUAACUAUGUUAACAAGAGACAAAUGAGACGAGGGAUCUCACGUUCUGAGUUUGAAUACAACAAAAUUCUAUCCAGAAUAUUCACGGCAACCCAGUUUCUUUUUGAAGCCAUAAAAAAGAAGAAUCGAGAAAUCUAAAGAUUGAUUUGCUACCAACGAAUUGUAAAUAAAGUGGUAUAUUGUGGCAGGUUCUAAAAACAACAUUGUUGAGGCCAUUCUAUCUUAUCUAAGAAGGUGGCUACGAUCUAUUGUGUCGUUUCCAGACGAACUUUCAGAACGAAUACCUGCCAAAUGACUAACUAGAGCGAUAGUUAGCACCUUAUCAACGCCGAAGGCUAUAAAUAAACAAAUGCGUUGCCUGGUGGGAGGGAAGUGGGUCAACUGAUCAGGUUCUAGUGCACCAAAAUAAAUAUCCAUUAUUAGUAAAUGUCUUGUAUUUCAAAUAUAUUAUUUGAACUAUAAUUAUUACGAAAUUGUUUCUUUUGCCCUUACAUUCGCUUUAAAAAAUAUUUUUGAGAUUUAAAAAAAAACUAAUUUUGAUCAGUGUAUCCAGAUAAUCCAGAACAUAUGAUGCAUUUAAUUAUAUAUUUAUUGGGCGGAGAAACAACUGCAGGGUAAAUGCACUUUGAUGGUCGUUUAGGGAGGGCCAAGGUGGGCGGGUGUUACAUAACACUCGGGGAACGUGUGUCUGCUGAAAAGUUCUUAAAUUAUUAAAAUAAAUGGACGAGGCGAAAUAAUAUGUUUGCCGAUUUCAGUUUUUUUUGUUUACCGCGCACUUUGUAAACAGCAAAAAAUUAAAUUGCGCAGCAAAAAUUGUCAAGAAGGCACUCUCUUGAGCGGAAAAGGGUUGUCAGGGCGAGUAACUAUGAAUUUUAAUAAAUGAACAUUCUUUUACAUAAAAAAGAGCAAAUAUAUUUGGUAAAAGUUCAGUAGAAAGUAAUGGAAAAAUUAAUCAUUUUUAGUAACUACACGUAAGCAACAAUAUAAUGCCUUUCUAGUAGUUUCUUUAGCUAAAUCCGGCAACUCUGACGGAGAGAGAGCUUUGGUUGCGGAACAGAAAGCUUGCGCGCCUAUAAAAGCCGCUGCUCGACCGAAAAAAAUUCAAUUCCGUUCGCAGCUCAGCGAAAAGUGAACAAAAAAGAAGCAGUACAGAAAUUUGAAAACCAGUCUGCAAGUUUGCAGAGAA
rnacentral:misc_RNA from 1 species